rnacentral:rRNA from 1 species
AGCCUUAAGUUAUUAUUUUAGGUGAAGCCUGCCCAGUGCUAAUUGUAAACGGCCGCAGUACCUUGACUGUGCUAAGGUAGCAUAAUCAGUUGGCUUUUAAAUGGAGUCGGGAAUGAAUGGAUUUAUAGGGUUAAGCUGUCUCCUCUAUACUAAUUUGAAUUUACUUAGUAGGUGAAAAUUCCUACAUAAAGAAAAAAGACGAGAAGACCCUAGGAGUUUUGAUUAAGGUUAACACAGGUUAACUAUUGUUUUUGUUGGGGCGACAUAGGAGAAAAUGAACCUCCUUUAUUGAUUUGCCGACUUAGUAUGUGCAAGUAAACUACCCUAGGGAUAACAGCGUAAUUCUUUAAGAGCUUGCGACCUCGAUGUUGGACUAGGAAUUUGGCAGGCUAGCCGCCUAUUUAUAUUGUUCUGUUCGAACUAUUUUUCCU